rnacentral:lncRNA from 1 species
UUCCAUAAAAUAAACAAAAUGAAAUAAAAUCAACAAAAGGGAUAAAGGAAUAAAAUAAGGGAGAAAGGUUAUGUUUAGGAGAGGGGGAGGGAAGAGGUUAUGGUAGGGAACUGAUGGAGUGGCUAUGUUUUAGGACCGGGACGGAUGGAGGGGCGAGACGGAUCAUCAUUUCGGCCAAACAGGUUAUGGUUAGGGUUAGGGUUAGGAUUAGGAUUAGGAAUCCAUAAAAUGAAUAAAAUGAAAUGAAAUAAAAACAAUAAAAGAAAUAAAAUAUGGGAGAAAGGUUAUGUUUAGGCCAAACGGGGCUGUGGAGGAGAGCCUAAAGAUCCACCUUCUCUCAGCAGCUCUCCUCUGGCCCAGGGACCAACCGACAUUGGUCUCUAGACCGGACAAUGAAAAGUUGUUGAUAUGAUGUGAGAUGAAAUGGUCCUGCAUAAUUUGCACUGGAUGGCGUAGACGACGUUGCAGGAGAGUAGUGUGAAGGUCUGCGAGAUGGGGGCACCGGCUCGACAGUUGAAGAUGUACUUCAGGGGCCGUAUUCACAAAGGAUUUUAGGGCUAAAAGUAGGUCCUAACUGGCAAAUUUAGGAGUAACUCCUAAAAAUAAUGGGCGUGUCACUCUUAAAUUUAGGACUCCUAACUUUUUUCACUAAGAGCAAUUCACAAAGUAUUUUAGGCCUAAAAGUAGCACCUAAGUCUAGGAGAGCUUAAAAGUCCUCAAGAGGACUCCUAACUCAGUAAGACCUAUUCACAAAGAAUCGUAAAUGCCUGCGAGACGA